GAGUUUGAUCGUGGCUCAGAAUGAACGCUGGCGGCAUGCCUAACACAUGCAAGUCGAACGAAGGCUUCGGCCUUAGUGGCGCACGGGUGCGUAACGCGUGGGAAUCUGCCCUUGGGUUCGGAAUAACAGUUAGAAAUGACUGCUAAUACCGGAUGAUGUCGUAAGACCAAAGAUUUAUCGCCCAAGGAUGAGCCCGCGUAGGAUUAGCUAGUUGGUGGGGUAAAGGCCCACCAAGGCGACGAUCCUUAGCUGGUCUGAGAGGAUGAUCAGCCACACUGGGACUGAGACACGGCCCAGACUCCUACGGGAGGCAGCAGUGGGGAAUAUUGGACAAUGGGCGAAAGCCUGAUCCAGCAAUGCCGCGUGAGUGAUGAAGGCCUUAGGGUUGUAAAGCUCUUUUACCCGGGAUGAUAAUGACAGUACCGGAGAAUAAGCUCCGGCUAACUUCGUGCCAGCAGCCGCCGUAAC
rnacentral:rRNA from 1 species